rnacentral:rRNA from 1 species
GGGGAAUUUUGGACAAUGGGCGCAAGCCUGAUCCAGCCAUGCCGCGUGUCUGAAGAAGGCCUUCGGGUUGUAAAGGACUUUUGUCAGGGAAGAAAAGGCUGUUGCUAAUAUCGACAGCUGAUGACGGUACCUGAAGAAUAAGCACCGGCUAACUACGUGCCAGCAGCCGCGGUAAUACGUAGGGUGCGAGCGUUAAUCGGAAUUACUGGGCGUAAAGCGAGCGCAGACGGUUACUUAAGCAGGAUGUGAAAUCCCCAGGCUUAACCUGGGAACUGCGUUCUGAACUGGGUGACUAGAGUGUGUCAGAGGGAGGUAGAAUUCCACGUGUAGCAGUGAAAUGCGUAGAGAUGUGGAGGAAUACCGAUGGCGAAGGCAGCCUCCUGGGAUAACACUGACGUUCAUGCUCGAAAGCGUGGGUAGCAAACAGGAUUAGAUACCCUGGUAGUCCACGCCCUAAACGAUGUCAAUUAGCUGUUGGGCAACUUGAUUGCUUAGUAGCGUAGCUAACGCGUGAAAUUGACCGCCUGGGGAGUACGGUCGCAAGAUUA